CUAGAUCAGAAGCGAGAAUGUUGACAUGAGUAGCGACAAACAGGGUGAGAGACCCUGUCGCCGAAAGUCCAAGGGUUCCUGCUUAAAGCUAAUCUGAGCAGGGUAAGCCGGCCCCUAAGGCGAGGCCGAAAGGCGUAGUCGAUGGGAAACAGGUUAAUAUUCCUGUGCCAGGAGGAUGUGACGGAUCAGAGAGGUUGUCUGCCCUUAUCGGAUUGGGUGGGCCGCUGACUGGUUCCUGGAAAUAGCCCUCCACAAGACCGUACCCCAAACCGACACAGGUGGACUGGUAGAGUAUACCAAGGCGCUUGAGAGAACCACGUUAAAGGAACUCGGCAAAAUGCCUCCGUAAGUUCGCGAGAAGGAGGCCCCGUCCUUGGGCAGCCAUGGGCGGGGGGCACAAACUAGGGGGUGGCGACUGUUUACUUAAAACAUAGGGCUGUGCGAAGCCGUAAGGCGACGUAUACAGUCUGACGCCUGCCCGGUGCUGGAAGGUUAAAAGGAGGGGUGCAAGCUCUGAAUUGAAGCCCCAGUAAACGGCGGCCGUAACGAUAACGGUCCUAAGGUAGCGAAAUUCCUUGUCGGGUAAGUUCCGACCUGCACGAAUGGCGUAACGAUCUCCCCGCUGUCUCUAACGUGGACUCAGCGAAAUUGAACUGUGUGUCAAGAUGCACACUACCCGCGGUUAGACGGAAAGACCCCAUGAACCUUUACUCUAGCUUUGCAUUGGCAUCAGGAAUGUGAUGUGCAGGAUAGGUGGUAGGCAUCGAAGCGGGGACGCCAGUUCCCGUGGAGCCUCCCUUGAGAUACCACCCUUCGCAUUCUUGAUGUCUAACCGCGGCCCGUUAUCCGGGUCCGGGACCCUGCAUGGUGGGGAGUUUGACUGGGGCGGUCACCUCCCAAACAGUAACGGGGGCGCGCGAAGGUUGGCUCAGAGCGGUCGGAAAUCGCUCGUUGAGUGCAAUGGCAGAAGCCAGCCUGACUGUAAGACUGACAAGUCGAACAGAGACGAAAGUCGGCCAUAGUGAUCCGGUGGUCCCAAGUGGGAGGGCCAUCGCUCAACGGAUAAAAGGUACUCUGGGGAUAACAGGCUGAUGAUGCCCAAGAGCCCAUAUCGACGGCAUCGUUUGGCACCUCGAUGUCGGCUCAUCUCAUCCUGGGGCUGGAGCAGGUCCCAAGGGUACGGCUGUUCGCCGUUUAAAGAGGUACGUGAGCUGGGUUUAGAACGUCGUGAGACAGUUCGGUCCCUAUCUGCCGUGGGUGUAGGAGACUUGAGAAGAGUUGCCCCUAGUACGAGAGGACCGGGGUGAACGUUCCACUGGUGGACCAGUUGUCGUGCCAACGGCAGUGCUGGGUAGCUAUGAACGGACAGGAUAAACGCUGAAGGCAUCUAAGCGUGAAGCCCCCUUCAAAACAAGGUCUCCCUGAGGGCCGUGGAAGACCACCACGUCGAUAGGCCGGAGGUGUAAGUGCAGCAAUGCAUUCAGCUGACCAGUACUAAUUGCCC
rnacentral:rRNA from 1 species